rnacentral:rRNA from 1 species
GAAAGCAUGACGGGGUCACCCCGAGUGCCACCCGCUGAGGGUGGCUUUUGCCCGGUGUAAUGAUCCGAGUGAAUAAGGGGAGGGCAAGUCUGGUGUCAGCCGCCGCGGUAAUACCAGCUCCUCGAGUGGUUGGGACGAUUAUUGGGUCUAAAGCGUCCGUAGCCGGCCGGAAAAGUCCUCCGUUAAAUCCAACGACCUAAUCGUUGGGCCGCGGGGGAUACUCUUCGGCUAGGGGGUGGAGGAGGUCGGCGGUAGUCCCGGGGUAGGAGCGAAAUCCAAUAAUCCCGGGAGGACCACCAGUGGCGAAGGCGGCCGACUAAAACGCGCCCGACGGUGAGGGACGAAAGCUGGGGGAGCGAACGGGAUUAGAUACCCCGGUAGUCCCAGCUGUAAACGAUGCAGGCUAGGUGUUGGGACGGCUACGAGCUGUCCCAGUGCCGCAGGGAAGCCAUUAAGCCUGCCACCUGGGGAGUACGGUCGCAAGGCUGAAACUUAAAGGAAUUGGCGGGGGAGCACCACAAGGGGUGAAGCUUGCGGUUUAAUUGGAGUCAACACCGGGAACCUUACCAGGAGCGACAGUUGUAUGAAGGUCA